rnacentral:rRNA from 1 species
AAACAACCCAGACCGCCAGCUAAGGUCCCAAAGUUGUGGUUAAGUGGUAAACGAUGUGGGAAGGCUUAGACAGCUAGGAGGUUGGCUUAGAAGCAGCCAUCCUUUAAAGAAAGCGUAAUAGCUCACUAGUCGAGUCGGCCUGCGCGGAAGAUGUAACGGGGCUCAAACCACACACCGAAGCUGCGGGUGUCACGCAAGUGACGCGGUAGAGGAGCGUUCUGUAAGCCUGUGAAGGUGAGUUGAGAAGCUUGCUGGAGGUAUCAGAAGUGCGAAUGCUGACAU